AAUGAACGUUGGCGGCAUGGAUUAGGCAUGCAAGUCGCACGAGAACCCCGCAAGGGGGGACAGUGGCGAAAGGGAGAGUAAUACGUGGGUACCUACCUCGAGGACCGGGAUAGCGGCGGGAAACUGCCAUUAAUACCGGAUAAUGUCUACGGACCAAAGGUGUGAUUCCACCUCGAGACGGGCCCGCGGCCUAUCAGCUAGUUGGCAGGGUAAUGGCCUACCAAGGCAAUGACGGGUAUGGGGCGUGAGAGCGUGCCCCCACUCACUGGGACUGAGACACUGCCCAGACACCUACGGGUGGCUGCAGUCGAGAAUCUUCGGCAAUGGGCGAAAGCCUGACCGAGCGAUGCCGCGUGCGGGAUGAAGGCCUUCGGGUUGUAAACCGCUGUCGUAGGGGAGGAAGACUCUGUGAAGAGCAGGGUUUGACCGAUCCUAGGAGGAAGUGGAGGCUAACCUCGUGCCAGCAGCCGCGGUAAGACGAGGUCCACAAACGUUAUUCGGAAUUACUGGGCUUAAAGCGUGCGUAGGCGGCUUAGCAAGUUGGGUGUGAAAGCCCUCGGCUCAACCGAGGAAUUGCGCCCAAAACUGCUGAGCUUGAGUGAGACAGAGGUGAGCGGAACUGAUGGUGGAGCGGUGAAAUGCGUUGAUAUCAUCAGG
rnacentral:rRNA from 1 species